ACCGGCAGCUCAAGUGGUGGCCAUUUUUAUUGGGCCUAAAGCGUUCGUAGCCGGUUUGAUAAGUCUCUGGUGAAAUCCCGCAGCUUAACUGUGGGACUUGCUGGAGAUACUAUUAGACUUGAGGUCGGGAGAGGUUAGGGGUACUCACAGUUUAGGGGCGAAAUCCUUUAAUCCUUGGAGGAGCAACGUUGGCGAAGGCGCCUCACUGGAUCGAACCCGACCGUCAGUAACGAAAGCAAGCGGCGCGACCCG
rnacentral:rRNA from 1 species